rnacentral:rRNA from 1 species
UGUGAAGGAAAGGUGAAAAGGACCCCGGGAGGGGAGUGAAAUAGAACCUGAAACCUUGUGCCUACAAGCACAUAGAGCACAUCAACGUGUGAUAUGGUACUUUUUGUAGAACGGUCCGGCGAGCGAUUGUAUGUUGCGAGCUUAAGGUCUUAAGGACUGGAGGCGCAGCGAGAGCGAGUCUGAAGAGGGCGUUCAGUAACAUGCAAUGGGCCCGAAACCGGGUGACCUACCCAUGAUCAGGCUGAAGUGAAAGUAAAAUUUCAUGGAGGGCCGAACCGACCUCCGUUGAAAAGGCGGCGGAUGAAUUGUGGGUAGCGGAGAAAUUCCAAUCGAACUCGGAGAUAGCUGGUUCUCCCCGAAAUAGCUUUAGGGCUAGCCUCAUAUUAGAUACCCGGAGGUAAAGCACUGAAUGGCCUAGCGCCCGAGAGGGUAGCGAAGCCUAUCAAACUAAGAAUGCCGGAGUAUUGAUGUAUGGGAGUCAGACAGUGUGAGAUAAAUCUCAUUGUCAAAAGGGAAACAGCCCAGAUCUACAGCUAAGGUCCCAAAUUGUAUCUAAGUGGAAAACGAUGUGGAAAUACGCAGACAACCAGGAUGUUGGCUCAGAAGCAGCCACUCAUUUAAAGAGUGCGUAAUAGCUCACUGGUCGAGCGUCUCUGCGCGGAAAAUUUAACGGGGCUAAGAUACAAACCGAAGCUUAGGCUGCAUCGUAAGAUGCGGGGUAGGGGAGCGUUGUGUAAGCGGAGAAACAGUAGCGUAAGCGGCUGUGGAGUUUACAGAAGUGAGAAUGCCGGAAUGAGUAGCGCGAAUGUGGUGAGAAUCCACAUGGCCGGAAACCUCAGGUUUUUGGAGGAAGGUUCGUCCGCUCCAAGUUAGGCGGGAGCUAAGGUCAGGCCGAAAGGCGUAGCCGAUGCACAGACGGUAGAGAUUCCGUCCCCACCGAAAGAUUUAAGCACAGGGACACUUUUUGAAGGUCGGAGCCAGGUGUUGGUUCUGGUAGAGAUCGAGGGAAAUAUAGUACCGAAGUCCGGCUGGAUGAGAGGCGAGAAAAGCUGUGUGUAUAUCUAAGGUGCCCGUACCGCAAACCGACACAGGUAGGUAGGAAGAAGAUUCUAAGGCCAACGGGAGAAGGGUUGUUAAGGAACUCGGCAAGUUGACCCCGUAACUUCGGAAUAAGGGGUGCUCACGAGAGUGAGCCGCAGAGAAUAGGCCCAGGCAACUGUUUACCAAAAACACAGGUUUGUGCUAAAUCGAAAGAUGACGUAUACGAGCUGACGCCUGCCCGGUGCUGGAAGGUUAAGAGGAGAUGUGCAAGCAUUGAAUCGAAGCCCCAGUAAACGGCGGCCGUAACUAUAACGGUCCUAAGGUAGCGAAAUUCCUUGUCAGGUAAGUUCUGACCCGCAUGAAAGGCGUAAUGAUUUGGGCACUGUCUCAACAGCCCGCCCGGCGAAAUUGUAGUACCGGUGAAGAUGCCGGUUACCCGCGACAAGACGGAAAGACCCCAUGGAGCUUUACUGUAGCCUGAUAUUGGGUUUCGGUGUUGCAUGCACAGGAUAGAUGGGACACUGGGAAGCGGAUGCUUUGGCGUUCGUGGAGUGGACGUUGGGAUACCAUCCUUGCGACAUUGGAAUUCUAACCUGCGCCUCUGAAUCGAGGCGGGGGACAUUGUCAGGUGGGCAGUUUGACUGGGGCGGUCGCCUCCUAAAAAGUAGCGGAGGCGUUCAAAGGUUCGUUCGAUCUGGACGGAAACCAGAUGAUUGAGUGCAAACGCAUAAACGAGCCUGACUGCGAGACUGACGGGUCGAGCAGAGACGAAAGUCGGAGUUAGUGAUCCGGUGGUAUGUGAGUGGAAAUGCCAUCGCUCAACGGAUAAAA